rnacentral:misc_RNA from 1 species
AAAGUCGUAACAAGGUUUCCGUAGGUGAACCUGCGGAAGGAUCAUUACCAUAUUACCGGGCCCGGCUUCGGCUGGCUCGAUUAUACCCUUGUCUUGUCUACCCCGUUUCCUCGGUAAUGGCCUGCCAGAGGACAUUUUUAAACCAUGUACUUGCAAUCAGCGUCAGAAAAUAAAAUAUUUAAAACUUUCAACAACGGAUCUCUUGGUUCUG